rnacentral:rRNA from 1 species
AACGAACGCUGGCGGCAGGCCUAACACAUGCAAGUCGAGCGAAGCCUUCGGGCUUAGCGGCGGACGGGUGAGUAACGCGUGGGAACGUGCCCUUUGGUACGGAAUAGCCCCGGGAAACUGGGAGUAAUACCGUAUGUGGUCGAGAGACGAAAGAUUUAUCGCCAAAGGAUCGGCCCGCGUUGGAUUAGGUAGUUGGUGGGGUAAUGGCCUACCAAGCCGACGAUCCAUAGCUGGUUUGAGAGGAUGAUCAGCCACACUGGGACUGAGAAACGGCCCAGACUCCUACGGGAGGCAGCAGUGGGGAAUCUUAGACAAUGGGGGAAACCCUGAUCUAGCCAUGCCGCGUGAUCGAUGAAGGCCUUAGUGUUGUAAAGAUCUUUCAGUGGGGAAGAUAAUGACUGUACCCACAGAAGAAGCCCCGGCUAACUCCGUGCCAGCCGCCGCGGUAAGAC